GUACCAUAUAAUGGUGAUACUAGCAGUAGGUACCAUGUAAAGGUCAUACAACAGUAGGUACCAUAUAAAGCUUAUACUAGCAGUAGGUACCAUAUAAUGGUGAUACUAGCAGUAGGUACCAUGUAAAGGUCAUACAAC